GGCUCAAUGGUCUAGUGGUAUGAUUCGUGCUUCGGGUUGUUCAAUCCACACCUUGAAAACAGGUGCUUGUGCGAGGUCUCGGGUUCGAUCCCCGAUUGAGCCC